rnacentral:misc_RNA from 1 species
UCUCCGUUGGUGAACCAGCGGAGGGAUCAUUACAGAGUUGCAAAACUCCCACACCAUUGUGAACGUUACCUAUCCCGUUGCUUCGGCGGGCGGCCCGGGCCCCGCGCCCGGCGCCCCCCGGCCCCCCGUGGGCGCCCGCCGGAGGUAAACCAAACCCUUGAAUUGCAUGGCCUCUCUGAGUCUUCUGUACUGAAUAAGUCAAAACUUUCAACAACGGAUCUCUUGGUUCUG